AACUACUAGAUCUUUUUACAUGGCUGCCUUAGCCGACUGUGUUAAAAUAGACUCUCACAGAACGACAAUUCACUCUGCCAACAGAUGUUCCCUGAAGAACAAGUGCUUCUGAGAAUUCUAGAUUGCAAAGGUGAGUAAGCCAUGGCCUUGGCUUCAAUGUUACAUACUCCAGAACUGAAUGCUUACUACUUCAGAAAAGUUGAAUUUUCUUCUCUUGAAAAGAUUCUGUGACAUAAUGGAAAAAACAAGGACUUUAAACCACCAAGAUUAGAGUUCAAGUUCCAUUCCACACCUACAAACAAGAUAUGUGUCUUUUCUAUCCUGAAGUCUGCAGCCUUGCCUUCAGUUUUCUCCCCCCACAUAAUGAGGUAUAAAUCUCUAUUAACAUUGCAAUUAGUGUGCACGUAUUUUCUGCUUUCUAAGAAAACAAUGGAAAUAACAAGGACUUUAAACCACUG
ensembl:lncRNA